CUAAUUUCAGCAUAAUACAUCACAAUAAUGAAAACAAAAAAUAAAGAAAAAUAUAUCGUUAAUUCUAAACUUGAAAGGUAUAAACUAUUAAUUUGUAGUUGUCUGCCAUUCAUUUAGCUCCUUUUUAUUUAAAUAAACAGACUACUUUUUCCAUUUAUGAAUUUGCUAUGAACAUUUUUAUGCCAGUAUUUUUCUACCAUACAAUUGUUUUACCAAUAUAUGCAGUUUCAUUAUAUCUAUUGGUACAGCCUGGUAUCAGGCUGAAUUAGAUUUACUGUUAUAGUGUGUUGUUACUUUUACAAUUAUUUAAAAGUGAUUUUUCUGUCAAUACUUGUAACUUGAUUUUUGUCUUAGAAACUGGAUUUUCUGCUUUUCUUUAAGAAUGUGGAAAAUUCAGAAGUAAUAGAGCAACUUUGCUGCAUGGUAAUGGUAGGCUGCAGCGAGAAAUUGUUGUCCCACUUAAGACACAGCAUUUCUGACUCCAGAUUUUAAUUGUCAUUGGUGACUCUAUCUUAAUCUUGGUACCCCGUCUCAAUGUGGCAUUGAUUUUGCAGUAUUACAAAUGCAGCUUUCAGAAAUAUAUUUAUAUAUUUUUGUGCGCAUUCUGAAUUAUUUUCUUUUGUGUGUGUGACAGGGUCUUGCUCUGUCACCCAGGCUGCAGCGAUGGAAUGAUCAUAGAUCACUGCAGCCUUGACCUCCUGUGCUCAAAUGAUACUCCUGCUCAAAUCAGCCUAGGUCCAUAUGAGUCUCCCAAGCAGCAAGGAUUCAGAUGGAGUCUUGCUCUGUCGCCCCAGGCUAGAGUGCAGUGGCGCGAUCUCGGCUCACUGUAAGUUCCGCCUCCCGGAUUCAAGCCAUUCUCUGUCCUCAGCCUCCCAAGUAGCUGGGACUACAGGCACCCGCUACUGCUCCCAGCUAAGUUUUUUUGUAUUUUUAAUAGAGACGGGGUUUCACCAUGGUCUCGAUCUCCUGACCUCGUGAUCCGCCCGCCUCAGCCUCCCAAAGUGCUGGGAUUACAGGCGUGAGCCACCACGCCUGGCAAUUAUGAUUUGUAUUUUUAAGUCUUGUUUAACUAUUUCCAGCUGAGUUAAUUAUUUUAAAGGACAUUGUCAGAAGUUUGAUUUUUUGCAAUUUUCCAAAUAAACCAAUAUCUAAUGACCAUUUAUUGAAUUAUUACAUUAUAAAAUUAAAAUGUGACUCCAAAUUAAAGUUGAGAGCUUCCUAUAAAAGGAAAAUUAUGUUCUUAGAAAUAAACAAUUUGUUGUUAUUUGUGUAGAACAUCUUGUGUAUUUUAAUCAGGUGGUAUUAAAGGGUAAACUGUCACCCUCCUACCAAGUAAACCUUGGUUGGCCAGUUAUGACUAUAUGUGAAUGGUAUACUAGUUAUUAAUCAAACUAGACAAAAAGCUAUAGAAAUAAACAAAAGACUUUAGUUCAUUUAAACACCUAUAGUUUGAAGUCGAUCGUGCCCAAAUUGUGACCAAACCACUUUAACAAACUGUAUAUUAUCAAACUUUUAACAUCAAUAGAAAAUUUUAUUUAAAUUUAGAUCAUAGUAAUGUUACAAUUUUAUGUGGAAAUAACCUUCAGAAGUAAGGGUAUUUUGAAUUAUUUUACUGUAGGUCAUUUCUGUUAUAAUAGAAAAUACUAUUAAAAUGAAAUGGUCUAACAAAAAUAUUUCUAAGUCUUGCUUUAUCCCUCAUGCACUUAAAACAGUAGAACAAAUUCCUUCUCAUCAACUACUUAGAUAGCUACUUGGUUUUCUUUCCAAUAAAAUAGAACUUUUUAUGUUUCACUGUGAAACCAAAAUAACUGCUAUAAAGUUAAUGAAUAGGUUUGAAUUCAUUACAAUCUCGGAAAAAGAAGCACUUUCUCUGUCUACCUCUGUUUUAGAGAUGAGUAUGAGAAAACGAACAUCUCUGAUUUAGGUAACGUCGGUUCAGAGAUUGAGUUUACUACACGCUUCCUGACUGUUAAGUGAUAUAUAGCUCACUUUUCAAACCUAAAAUAAAAUUUAAAUCAUAAAAAGGAGUAAAAGAGUUUCUUUACUUUUUUUUUUUUUUUUUUGUGAGUACGGAGUUUCGCUCUGCUGCCCAGGCUAGAGUGCAGUGACGUGAUCUCGGCUCACCGCAAGCUCCGCCUCUCAGGUUCAAGCCAUUCUCCUGCCUCAGCCUCCUGGGUAGCUGGGACUACAGGCGCCGGCCACCAGGCCUGGCUAAUUUUUUGUAUUUUUAGUAGAGACGGGGUUUCACCGUGUUAGUCAGGAUGGUCUCGAUCGCCUGACCUUGUGUUCCGCCUGCCUCAGCAUCCCAAAGUGCUGGGAUUACAGACGUUACUUUUCUUUUAGUUGUAAAUGGCUAAAAAUAUAUUUAGUAAUUGAAAGUUGCCUCAACACUUGUCCUAUGAAUGAUUUGGAUCUUUUCUAUUUUGCUUUGAGCUACGUGGCUAGGACUUUCUAGAGAGUUAAAAAAUAAUAAUACUAGGGACUUAGAUGAACUUUCACAGACUCAUUUAAUACAGUUUGUAGGACAUUUGCAAAUUCAUAAGAGCAGGAAAAGAAAUAGGGAUCAUUGUCACCAUUAUCACAAAUAAUUAUCCUUAUAUGUGAACUUUGUCUUGCAUCUUUUUGUUUUCCCGAUGUCCCUUGAGUGAAAGGGAAGGAGGAUGUUGGUGUUUAAUACAGAGCAUACCUGUUUGAAAGUUGAAUGUCUAGAAGUGAAAUCAGUUCACACAUUAUAAGGUGGGGCAUGUAAUCGAAAGUCUAAAAGUGGUGUAUAUUCCAAUUAUGUUUUUUGUUGGUGCUGCCUCUAUGGAGUCCAGGUAACCUGAUGUGAAUAUUCACAGAUAACUAGGAAGCCUGGAUCACAAGGUGGCACAUAAAGAAAGGCUAUAUAGUGUCAUCAGUUACCUUCAAAGGAUUUGGAGAAUUGAGCCAAGAAUAGAAACUUUUAUUUGGGGCUUAAAUAGAAGGUAAAGAGAAGGUGGUUAGGGCACAUGAGGCAAAACUAAUAAUGGAUUACUGACUGGACAUGGUCUGGAGAUUCCACAGUUAAGAUCUGGGGAGUGCUUGCAGUGAGCCAAGAUUGUGCCACUGCACUCCAGCCUGGGCGACAGAGAGAGACUCCGUCUCAAAAAAAAAAAAAAAAGAAAAGAUCUGGGGAGUAAAUAUGUAUUGGAGAGUCUCAGAUUUUCUGACAGGAAGAUAGUAUCCUUAUAGGGUAGAUGGAGAAUAUCAUCCCAUAGCUUAUUUAAUAAUAAAGUUUGUAUAUUGUUUCAAUUAUAAAGUGUGAAUAUUUGAAGUUUAUAAAAUGAUAUGGGAACCAUGCAGAUACAUUAAAAGGCAGUGUUCAGAACUUGUAGGAAUUACACUAGGUUGCUAAGACAUAGAUUAGUAGAGCUGGGAUGAGACCUCA
rnacentral:lncRNA from 1 species